rnacentral:rRNA from 1 species
GAGUUUGAUCCUGGCUCAGAACGAACGCUGGCGGCAUGCUUAACACAUGAAGUCGAACGAAUUUUAAGUCUUCGGAUUUAAGGUUAGUGGCAGACGGGGAGUAACGCGUGGGAACGUACCCUUUAGUUCGGAAUAACUACGGGAAACGUAGCUAAUACCGGAUACGCCCUUUGGGGGAAAGAUUUAUUGCUAAAGGACGGCCCGCGUUAGAUUAGGUAGUUGGUGGGGUAAAGGCCCACCAAGCCACGAUCUAUAGCUGGUCUGAGAGGAUGAUCAGCCACACUGGGACUGAGAACGGCCCAGACUCCUACGGGAGGCAGCAGUGGGGAAUAUUGGACAAUGGGGCAACCCUGAUCCAGCAAUGCCGCGUGAGUGAUGAAGGCCUUCGGGUUUAAAGCUCUUUUGUUAGGGAAGAUAAUGACGGUACCUAACGAAUAAGCACGGCUAACUUCGUGCCAGCAGCCGCGGUAAUACGAAGGGUGCUAGCGUUUUCGGAAUUACUGGGCGUAAAGGGCGCGUAGGCGGUUAUGUAAGUCAGAGUGAAAGCCUUGGGCUUAACCUAAGAAUUGCAUUUGAUACUGCAUUGACAGAGAUCGAGAGAGGAAAGUGGAAUUACGAGUGUAGAGGUGAAAUUCGUGAUAUUCGUAAGAACAUCGGUGGCGAAGGCGGCUUUCUGGCUCGAUACUACGCUAAGGCGCGAAAGCGUGGGGAGCAAACAGGAUUAGAUACCCUGGUGUCCACGCUGUAAACGAUGAGUGCUAGAUGCUGGGUCUUACAGAUUCGGGUCGCAGCUAACGCAUUAAGCACUCCGCCUGGGGAGUACGGUCGCAAGAUAAAACUCAAAUGAUUUGACGGGG